rnacentral:rRNA from 1 species
AUUGAACGCUGGCGGCAUGCUUUACACAUGCAAGUCGAACGGUAACAGGGUGCUUGCACCGCUGACGAGUGGCGAACGGGUGAGUAAUACAUCGGAAUGUACCCAGUAAUGGGGGAUAACGCUUCGAAAGGAGUGCUAAUACCGCAUACGCCCUGAGGGGGAAAGUGGGGGACCGCAAGGCCUCACGUUAUUGGAGCAGCCGGUGGCUGAUUAGCUAGUUGGGGAGGUAAAGGCUCACCAAGGCGACGAUCCGUAGCGGGUCUUAGAGGACGAUCGGCACAACUGGAACGGAGACCAGGUCCAGCCUCCUACGGGAGGCAGCAGUGGGGAAUCUUGGACAAUGGGCGAAAGCCUGAUCCAGCAAUGCCGCGUGCGUGAUGAAGGCCUUCGGGUUGUAAACUGCUUUUGUACGGAACGAAACGGUGAGCUCUAAUACAGUUUGCUAAUGACGGUACCGUAAGAAUAAGCACCGGCUAACUACGUGCCAGCCGCCGCCGUAA